rnacentral:sRNA from 1 species
ACAAAUUCAAGAAGAAG